rnacentral:rRNA from 1 species
GGUUAAGCGACUAAGCGUACACGGUGGAUGCCCUGGCAGUCAGAGGCGAUGAAGGACGUGCUAAUCUGCGAUAAGCGUCGGUAAGGUGAUAUGAACCGUUAUAACCGGCGAUUUCCGAAUGGGGAAACCCAGUGUGUUUCGACACACUAUCAUUAACUGAAUCCAUAGGUUAAUGAGGCGAACCGGGGGAACUGAAACAUCUAAGUACCCCGAGGAAAAGAAAUCAACCGAGAUUCCCCCAGUAGCGGCGAGCGAACGGGGAGCAGCCCAGAGCCUGAAUCAGUGUGUGUGUUAGUGGAAGCGUCUGGAAAGGCGCGCGAUACAGGGUGACAGCCCCGUACACAAAAAUGCACAUGCUGUGAGCUCGAUGAGUAGGGCGGGACACGUGGUAUCCUGUCUGAAUAUGGGGGGACCAUCCUCCAAGGCUAAAUACUCCUGACUGACCGAUAGUGAACCAGUACCGUGAGGGAAAGGCGAAAAGAACCCCGGCGAGGGGAGUGAAAAAGAACCUGAAACCGUGUACGUACAAGCAGUGGGAGCACGCUUAGGCGUGUGACUGCGUACCUUUUGUAUAAUGGGUCAGCGACUUAUAUUCUGUAGCAAGGUUAACCGAAUAGGGGAGCCGAAGGGAAACCGAGUCUUAACUGGGCGUUAAGUUGCAGGGUAUAGACCCGAAACCCGGUGAUCUAGCCAUGGGCAGGUUGAAGGUUGGGUAACACUAACUGGAGGACCGAACCGACUAAUGUUGAAAAAUUAGCGGAUGACUUGUGGCUGGGGGUGAAAGGCCAAUCAAACCGGGAGAUAGCUGGUUCUCCCCGAAAGCUAUUUAGGUAGCGCCUCGUGAAUUCAUCUCCGGGGGUAGAGCACUGUUUCGGCAAGGGGGUCAUCCCGACUUACCAACCCGAUGCAAACUGCGAAUACCGGAGAAUGUUAUCACGGGAGACACACGGCGGGUGCUAACGUCCGUCGUGAAGAGGGAAACAACCCAGACCGCCAGCUAAGGUCCCAAAGUCAUGGUUAAGUGGGAAACGAUGUGGGAAGGCCCAGACAGCCAGGAUGUUGGCUUAGAAGCAGCCAUCAUUUAAAGAAAGCGUAAUAGCUCACUGGUCGAGUCGGCCUGCGCGGAAGAUGUAACGGGGCUAAACCAUGCACCGAAGCUGCGGCAGCGACACUAUGUGUUGUUGGGUAGGGGAGCGUUCUGUAAGCCUGUGAAGGUGUGCUGUGAGGCAUGCUGGAGGUAUCAGAAGUGCGAAUGCUGACAUAAGUAACGAUAAAGCGGGUGAAAAGCCCGCUCGCCGGAAGACCAAGGGUUCCUGUCCAACGUUAAUCGGGGCAGGGUGAGUCGACCCCUAAGGCGAGGCCGAAAGGCGUAGUCGAUGGGAAACAGGUUAAUAUUCCUGUACUUGGUGUUACUGCGAAGGGGGGACGGAGAAGGCUAUGUUGGCCGGGCGACGGUUGUCCCGGUUUAAGCGUGUAGGCUGGUUUUCCAGGCAAAUCCGGAAAAUCAAGGCUGAGGCGUGAUGACGAGGCACUACGGUGCUGAAGCAACAAAUGCCCUGCUUCCAGGAAAAGCCUCUAAGCAUCAGGUAACAUCAAAUCGUACCCCAAACCGACACAGGUGGUCAGGUAGAGAAUACCAAGGCGCUUGAGAGAACUCGGGUGAAGGAACUAGGCAAAAUGGUGCCGUAACUUCGGGAGAAGGCACGCUGAUAUGUAGGUGAGGUCCCUCGCGGAUGGAGCUGAAAUCAGUCGAAGAUACCAGCUGGCUGCAACUGUUUAUUAAAAACACAGCACUGUGCAAACACGAAAGUGGACGUAUACGGUGUGACGCCUGCCCGGUGCCGGAAGGUUAAUUGAUGGGGUUAGCGCAAGCGAAGCUCUUGAUCGAAGCCCCGGUAAACGGCGGCCGUAACUAUAACGGUCCUAAGGUAGCGAAAUUCCUUGUCGGGUAAGUUCCGACCUGCACGAAUGGCGUAAUGAUGGCCAGGCUGUCUCCACCCGAGACUCAGUGAAAUUGAACUCGCUGUGAAGAUGCAGUGUACCCGCGGCAAGACGGAAAGACCCCGUGAACCUUUACUAUAGCUUGACACUGAACAUUGAGCCUUGAUGUGUAGGAUAGGUGGGAGGCUUUGAAGUGUGGACGCCAGUCUGCAUGGAGCCGACCUUGAAAUACCACCCUUUAAUGUUUGAUGUUCUAACGUUGACCCGUAAUCCGGGUUGCGGACAGUGUCUGGUGGGUAGUUUGACUGGGGCGGUCUCCUCCUAAAGAGUAACGGAGGAGCACGAAGGUUGGCUAAUCCUGGUCGGACAUCAGGAGGUUAGUGCAAUGGCAUAAGCCAGCUUGACUGCGAGCGUGACGGCGCGAGCAGGUGCGAAAGCAGGUCAUAGUGAUCCGGUGGUUCUGAAUGGAAGGGCCAUCGCUCAACGGAUAAAAGGUACUCCGGGGAUAACAGGCUGAUACCGCCCAAGAGUUCAUAUCGACGGCGGUGUUUGGCACCUCGAUGUCGGCUCAUCACAUCCUGGGGCUGAAGUAGGUCCCAAGGGUAUGGCUGUUCGCCAUUUAAAGUGGUACGCGAGCUGGGUUUAGAACGUCGUGAGACAGUUCGGUCCCUAUCUGCCGUGGGCGCUGGAGAACUGAGGGGGGCUGCUCCUAGUACGAGAGGACCGGAGUGGACGCAUCACUGGUGUUCGGGUUGUCAUGCCAAUGGCACUGCCCGGUAGCUAAAUGCGGAAGAGAUAAGUGCUGAAAGCAUCUAAGCACGAAACUUGCCCCGAGAUGAGUUCUCCCUGACUCCUUGAGAGUCCUGAAGGAACGUUGAAGACGACGACGUUGAUAGGCCGGGUGUGUAAGCGCAGCGAUGCGUUGAGCUAACCGGUACUAAUGAACCGUGAGGCUUAACCUU